rnacentral:rRNA from 1 species
CCUACGGGAGGCAGCAGUGAGGAAUAUUGGUCAAUGGUCGGGAGACUGAACCAGCCAAGCCGCGUGAGGGAUGAAGGUACAGAGUAUCGUAAACCUCUUUUGUCAGGGAACAAAGGCGGGGACGUGUCCCCGGAUGAGUGUACCUGAAGAAAAAGCAUCGGCUAACUCCGUGCCAGCAGCCGCGGUAAUACGGAGGAUGCGAGCGUUAUCCGGUUUUAUUGGGUUUAAAGGGUGCGCAGGCGGUCUGUUAAGUCAGCGGUCAAAGCCCGGGGCUCAACCCCGGACCGCCGUUGAAACUGGCAGUCUUGAGUGGGAGAGAAGUAUGCGGAAUGCGCGGUGUAGCAGUGAAAUGCAUAGAUAUCGCGCAGAACUCCGAUUGCGAAGGCAGCAUGCCGGCUCCACACUGACGCUGAGGCACGAAAGCGUGGGUAUCGAACAGGAUUAGAUACCCCAGUAGUC